rnacentral:rRNA from 1 species
AUUGAACGCUGGCGGCAGGCCUAACACAUGCAAGUCGAACGAGUGGCGGACGGGUGAGUAAUGUCUGGGAAACUGACUGAUGGAAGGGGAUAACUACUGGAAACGGUAGCUAAUACCGCAUACCAUCGGAGGUGCCCAGAGGGGAUUAGCGAGUAGGUGGGGGAAAGGUUCACCUAGGCGAAGAUCCCGAGCUGGUCUGAGAGGAUGACCAGUCACACUGGAACUGAGACACGGUCCAGACUCCUACGGGAGGCAGCAGUGGGGAAUAUUGCACAAUGGGCGCAAGCCUGAUGCAGCCAUGCCGCGUGUAUGAAGAAGGCCUUCGGGUUGUAAAGUACUGUCAGCGGGGAGGCGUUACCCGCAGAAGAAGCACCGGCUAACUCCGUGCCAGCAGCCGCGGUAAUUC